rnacentral:rRNA from 1 species
GACGAACGCUGGCGGCGUGCUUAACACAUGCAAGUCGAACGGUAAGGCCCUUCGGGGUACACGAGUGGCGAACGGGUGAGUAACACGUGGGUGAUCUGCCCUGCACUUCGGGAUAAGCCUGGGAAACUGGGUCUAAUACCGGACAGGACCACUGCCUGCAUGGGCGGUGGUGGAAAGCUUUUGCGGUUUGGGAUGGGCCCGCGGCCUAUCAGCUUGUUGGGGGGGUGAUGGCCUACCAAGGCGACGACGGGUAGCCGGCCUGAGAGGGUGACCGGCCACACUGGGACUGAGAUACGGCCCAGACUCCUACGGGAGGCAGCGGUGGGGAAUAUUGCACAAUGGGCGCAAGCCUGAUGCAGCGACGCCGCGUGAGGGAUGACGGCCUUCGGGUUGUAAACCUCUUUCAGCACCGACGAAGCGCAAGUGACGGUAGGUGCAGAAGAAGGACCGGCCAACUACGUGCCAGCCGCCGCGGUAA